CAGACAAUAUCGUUUCCGAAUUGUACUGGAUUUAGGUAGGAAUUAUAGCUGUUAUGCGGCAAGAUUAUGGGAAAAGUGCAUACUAUCUUAUCCUGAUUUAAAUACCGCUUGGAUCGUUUGGUGACCGAGACGGGGGA
rfam:Desulfosporosinus youngiae DSM 17734 chromosome, whole genome shotgun sequence.